GGUAGGAUCUGCUGCACCAGAUGGCGUAGAGUUGGCUCUGACAAAAUAUUAUAACAGGCAUGUUAAAAUAAAUUUACAGUUAGACAAUAUCUGGCUGGUGAAUAAUCCAACACAACACUGCAUAGUGGUAAAAGAAUGAAACAACUUGAUUGAAGACAGAACAAAUAAAUAAGACGUUCAUUGUCUACGUGCCGUGUCGCUUCUUAUCUUGCCAAACUUAAUGAGGGGUUAAGGCAUUCAAGGGAGCUUAGAGGACACUGGUUUAACCCCAUCGAGGCGGACUUCAAGAGCUGAAGACAUGAAGACAAAAGUUCCCAACAGUAAUCCAGAAACUGAUUUCCAGCGGGCUUUUGAUGUGUGGCAGACACGCCAAACUAAGUGUCUCGAUGCAGGAUGAAUGUAGGCUAUUUUGAAGAUUAUUAAGUCAUUGUAAUGAUACCUGCAAUAAAUUUUUAUUUUUGAAACCAA